GUUUUAAUUAUGUAUAAUAAAAACCUAUUCUUAUCACUAUUUUUUGUACAGUUUUUAUUUUAUUAUCCUCUCUAUUUCACAGUUGCAAUGAUUUCACAGGAUUAUACAGUUGAAAGGACUCACAAGAUUGAGUAGACCAUACUUAGUAGUGCUUUAAUUAAGGUAGAGGAUACAGUAAAGCUGGAGAAAGCAGAGGCAAGCGUCAAAGGCCCAGGAUACACCCAGAUGGAACUCUCCUUAACCACACAAAAGGUGAUUGGUGAUGUCAUUCAAAUUCAACUACCAUCUACAUGAUGACAGCUCCUACAUGUACAUCCUUAUCCAAGUUAUCUCCUGUUAACUCUGGAUUUACAUACUCAAUUGUUACUGUAUAUUUCCACUUAGGUGACUGUAAUACACUUUUCACCAUUAAAGUGUCCAACACUGAGUUCUGAACA